rnacentral:rRNA from 1 species
GUGGGGAAUUUUGGACAAUGGGCGCAAGCCUGAUCCAGCAAUGUCGCGUGCAGGAAGAAGGCCUUCGGGUUGUAAACUGCUUUUGUACGGAACGAAAAGGCUCUGGUUAAUACCUGGGGCUCAUGACGGUACCGUAAGAAUAAGCACCGGCUAACUACGUGCCAGCAGCCGCGGUAAUACGUAGGGUGCAAGCGUUAAUCGGAAUUACUGGGCGUAAAGCGUGCGCAGGCGGGUUUGUAAGACAGAGGUGAAAUCCCCGGGCUCAACCUGGUAAUUGCCUUUGUGACUGCAAGGCUGGAGUGCGGCAGAGGGGGAUGGAAUUCCGCGUGUAGCAGUGAAAUGCGUAGAUAUGCGGAGGAACACCGAUGGCGAAGGCAGCUUACUAUUUCGUAAUUGACGCUGAGGCACGAAAGCGUGGGUAGCGAACAGGAUUAGAUACCCCGGUAGUCC